UUGCUUUGGCAGCACAUAUACUAAAAUUGGAACCAUGCAGAGAAGAUUAGCUUGGCCCCUGUUUGAGGAAGACACACAAAUUCGUGAAGCAUUCCAUGUUUUU